rnacentral:rRNA from 1 species
GUGCCAGCCGCCGCGGUAAGACGAACCGUGCAAACGUUGUUCGGAAUCACUGGGCUUAAAGGGCGCGUAGGCGGGCAGCCAAGUCAGGGGUGAAAUCUUUCGGCUCAACCGGAAAAUUGCCUUUGAAACUGGCUGUCUCGAGGGAGGUAGGGGCAUGUGGAACUUCCGGUGGAGCGGUGAAAUGCGUUGAUAUCGGAAGGAACGCCGGUGGCGAAAGCGACGUGCUGGACCUCUUCUGACGCUGAGGCGCGAAAGCUAGGGGAGCGAACGGGAUUAGAUACCCCUGUAGUCC